UUCAGAAUAACCGAGUGGUUAAGGUGCAAGCCUUGAAUGGAAGCUGAGCUCUACAGCCUAAGUUUGAUUCUGGGUUUGAAG